GUUUUGGUGCGUGUUUCUUUGUGGGCAAAUAAAUCACGCUAGUACCUUUUGAGGCCUCAUAUGUGACAGAUGGAGAGAUGUAAAUUAUAUCCGUAUCGCAUAUGAUCAAAGAAGUCAUCGUACAAAUAGAUUGUAGCCAAGGCCUUGUGCCACACUCAGACAAUGGCGACCUUCCAGAGAUAUCCGACCGCCUUCCAAACUCAACCGUUCCAGGUCCCUUCAUAUGGAUCAACGUUUCCAUUGACUAGUGUAUCCCUUAUUU